CACAAAACUUUAAAAACUAUGAGUUACCUUUGAAAACUUGAUGACUAUUUUUAUGUUUGAUAGACUAGAAAAAUAUGUGUGCAAGUAGGCAGUGCACCCUAUGUGAGGUACAAAUCACAAUAGACGAACCUACUCACAAAAUUCAAACUUCCCAUUAGCAAGACCAUCAUCUUUAGCACGCGACUAGGAUACACUUCAACUCCUUCCAGUUCAAACUACAAUACCUAUUGAUUUUAUUUAUAAUUUAAGUUUUAUAGAGGGCUCGUUUAGAACGUCGUAUUAGGUCGUAUUAUAUUGUAUUAUAUUGAAUUAUAUUUUAUGUAAUAUUUUUAUGUAAAACGAUAUGUGGUAUUAACUGUUAGACUUUUUAUUUGGGCUUACAUUAACUUUUGUUGGUUUUAUUAAAACUUGGGUUGAUUGGAAGUUUUUUGUUGUAUGAUCACUUGUUAAUGGGCUUAGCAUCUGUGUGUAAAGUAUAGGUGAAGCAGAAGUGUGGACUUUUCUAGUUAACUGAAGCGUUUGAUGAGCAGGCCCAGUCCAACUAGGGUUUUGUAGCUAAGUCUCCUCCCUAACUCUAUAAAUACAUAUUGUCUCAUCACAAUUGUAUACCUUUUGAUAGUAUUGCACUAUCGAAUUGGAGUAAUUGCUAUGGAUCAAAUUGAAGUAAUUGCUAUGGAUUAAUCAGGUACGCAUACCUAAUUAUUAUGUAUUAUUAUUGUGUUCUAUGUUAUAUACAAAUAGAUCUUGGGUUUAUUAUUAAUUUUUCUAACAUUAAUUUUUAUGGACACCUAAAUAUAUAAUAUUUUAGUAUAAAUUAAAGUUUAACAUAGUAUUAUAUAAAAAUAUGAUAUAUAAUUCAAUUCAAUAUAAUACAAUACAAUACGACCUAAUAUUACGUUCCAAACGAGCCCAAAAGAUUCUUUUUAUUCUAAUUAAUAAUAGCUAUUACGUAACUGUACUUCGUAUAUGACUUUGUUGCCACUUAAUUCUUUAAUUUUAUAUAUAUUUAGCACAUGUAUUUGUAAUUUAGUGAUUAUGUUGCUACUUCUUAAUUUUGAUAUUUAUUAACCAAUAAAUGAGUCUUGAUUUAAUAAAUAAACUUAAUAAUAAUAAUAAUAAUAAUAAUAAUAAUAAUAAUAAUAAUAAUAUAUUAGGGUUGUCGAUGUUUUAUUGACGGUAAGAGUACCAAGGUUGGAGAAGACACUAAUCUACAAUUUUUUUAUGGUUUCUUGGUUAUUUCUAUGGUUGUGUGAUUUUUUUUGUUUUUUUUUACCAUUGAUAAGAAACUAAAAAUGCAAAAAAAAUAAAAUAAUAAAUCACACAAACAUGGAAAUCAUCGAGAAACCAUCAAUAAGAAAUAGAAAAUGAAACAAGAAAAUAAAAAAUUCACACAGUCAUGGAAAUCAUCAAGAAACUAUAGAAAAACCAUCGAUAACAAACUGAAAAAUACAAAAAAAAAUCCCACAGUCAUGAAAAUCAUUGAGAAACUAUCGAAAGAUUGUCGAUAAGAGUCUUCCCCGACCUUAGUAUGCCUACCAUGAAUAAAACAUCGACAUAUUAUCAAUAAACUAUCGAUAUAACGUAAGAAAAUUUAAAUCUCAUCGAAAAACUAGAUCUCGCCUCUUCAAAAUAUUUAAAAAGUUAUUUGAAAAACACUUAACCAUUACUGCGAGUGUAGCAGGUUUCAUACGGUCAUCGUGCGUGAUUCAUAGCUUUAGUGGAAUCUACGCUGUUUACACGAGAGAGAGAGAGAGAGAGAGAGAGAGAGAGAGAGAGAGAGAGAGAGAGAGAGAGAGAGAGAGAGAGAGAGAGAGAGAGAUUGUUUCUUUUAAGAUACAAUUAUUAAUAUGAGGGGGUAAAAAGGAAAAAACAAGUCAAAAUAGGUAGUAUUUAGUAUAAAUUAGUUAAAAGUAUAAAAAUUGAUAAUAGGUAUAUUUUUAAGUACAUAUAAUAAAAUAAAUUGGUUCCUUCAACCAAGUAUUUUCAAACCACUCGAAGGGGAAGGGAAGCUUCGGAGCACAUCACUGCAAAAUUGAAUCGUUGUGCUGGUACAUUGGAAGCUUGAGGCAAAGAUUUCACAGGUUAUUUUAAACAAAGAAUUAAUAAUUGCAAGGCUGAGUUGAAGAUGCUUAAAAACAAAAAAGACCCGACCUCAAAUCAGCGAUAUGGGGAGGUGAAAAAAUGACUUUUUGAGAUGAUAUACCAAAGAUAAGUUCUUUGGAAAUAAAAGUUGAAACAACAUUGGUUUUAAAGAAGGAGAUCAGAAUAGCAAGUUUUUUUAUAUGGCUACUUCGAAUAAGAAGACAAAAUAACAUUCAGAGUCUUAAAAAUGACCAAGGUGUGUAGCUUGAAUGGAACAAUGGACUGUCGAAUGUUGUUAUUGAUUAUCUCUCCUUGUUAUUUUUGGCUUCAAAUGUUGAUUUCACUGAGGUGGUGAAUGAGGUUACUCAGUUGGUUUUUGAGGAGAUGAAUAUUGAGUUGCUUCAACCGGUUACAACUAAAGAAGUUUGGAAUGUCAUUUUUCAAAUGUAUCUUUAUAAAAGCUCCAAGCCGGAUGGUAUGACACCAGCUUUCUACCAGAAAUGU